GGGCCCGCACAAGCAGCGGAGCAUGUGGUUUAAUUCGAAGCAACGCGAAGAACCUUACCAGAACUUGACAUCGUGCGCAUAGAGGGUAAUGCCUCGAAGUCCUUCGGGACGCAUAGACAGGUGGUGCAUGGUUGUCGUCAGCUCGUGUCGUGAGAUGUUGGGUUAAGUCCCGCAACGAGCGCAACCCCUAUUGUUAGUUGCCAUCAUUCAGUUGGGCACUCUAAUGAGACUGCCGGGGACAACUCGGAGGAAGGUGGGGAUGACGUCAAAUCAUCAUGCCCCUUAUGUUCUGGGCUACACACGUGCUACAAUGGGUGAAACAACGGGAAGCAAGCUAGUGAUAGCAAGCCAAACCCUAAAAAACACCCUCAGUUCAGAUUGUAGGCUGAAACUCGCCUACAUGAAGUCGGAGUUGCUAGUAAUCGCGAAUCAGCAUGUCGCGGUGAAUACGUUCCCGGGCCUU
rnacentral:rRNA from 1 species